AACGGGGGCGCGCACGCCGCCCUCUGAACCCGCGCCGUCGCUGUGGGGCGCAGGGCGCUGAAACCUGGGCUGGAGCGCUCUAUGAGGUGAUUUCCUCACUGCCGGUGUGGCUCUACCUCUAUUGUACCAAGUCCUUUUCGAUUUUAGAAUCUUGCAUUCUCGGAAGAAGUCUAGAGCCCUCAUUUCAGAGGAAAUAAGCCCAAGGAGAGCGACUUGUCUUCUCGUAGAUGUGGGUCGCUGUUCUCCCGUCCGCUCACUGGCGCUGCACCGGGUGAGCUCUCCUCAUCUCGCUGAUUGCCUCCCCUCGGCCAGCUCGGGGUGCCUAAGGCUUGUGCUUUAGUGCCUGCUCCAUACUGUGACCCGUUUUUCCGGUGUAGAGACUGAGACCUCCUCCCGCGAGGAUAAUCUCUGGAGUGGCUCUUAUAAGUGAAAAACUGGCCAGUGAUCUGCCUUUAGAAAGCUACCUCACUUCUGUGUAUAAGGAGCACCUUCAGGAACCAGGGAGUCCUGUCUUCAUGGGGGCAAGGGCCUGGCCUCACCCUCCAUGGACUGGAAGCUUCCACUUUGACAGUAAAGGAAGAGGAUCCAUAGCGGCAUUGGUCUAUGAGCUCACUGCUAAUUUGGCACAUUUCUAGGAACAGAGACAACCCUCAAAGUCAAUGGAGUAUUUUCUACUCCAUUGAAAGGUCCAAAGUAAAAAGCUAAUUUGUAUUUCUAAAACAAUAUUUCUUGAAUAAAUAAACCAAUAUUAUAUCCAUUGUUCCUUAGUUGUACAAAUCAUUCAAAAUCUAUUCAGAGUAUGGAAAAUAGGGC
rnacentral:lncRNA from 1 species